AUGUUCUAUAUUGGAAUAAAUGAAUAGUAAUGACUUUCAUUAUUUAAUAUUGAUGAGUUUUCUUUUUUAUUUACUACAUCUGUUUCCUAACUCAAUUGCUGAAGGUCUCUUCAGGCUCUGGAGAUGCAAGAAUCUGAACACAAGUCCAAUUGCCUGGUUGGGAUGAUGGGUUCAACUUCCAUGGUACUGCAGGUGCCAGCAGCAGUGGACGAAGGGGAUGGGCGAGUGAGAGUUGUUGGCCCCUUCCAAUCGAAGGGUUUUAUGGAAGGACUCGAACAAUGGGAGCUUAUAGUGAUGCCAGGACGACAUCUUGUACUUAUUAGUACUUAUUUUUGGAUGGUUGGAACUAAAAUGUAUAAUGGGAGUAGUUGGUUUUUCCUAUAUUAUGUAUGAAAUUAAAUUAUUGACGUUGGAUUAGAUUUGGUUCUUAUGGAAUUUGUAAUAUAUAUAUAAUUAGACGUUCAAUAUUAAUUUUUUGGAUGGUUGGAACUAAAA